rnacentral:rRNA from 1 species
CGGUGGAGCAUGUGGUUUAAUUCGAUGGUACGCGAGGAACCUUACCUGGGCUUGACAUAUGGUGGAAUGUGGCAGAGAUGUCACAGCGUAGCAAUACGUCGCUAUACAGGUGCUGCAUGGCUGUCGUCAGCUCGUGCCGUGAGGUGUUGGGUUAAGUCCCGCAACGAGCGCAACCCUCGACCUUAGUUGCCAGCAUUCAGUUGGGCACUCUAAGGUGACUGCCGGCUAAAAGUCGGAGGAAGGUGGGGAUGACGUCAAAUCAUCAUGCCCCUUAUGUCUUGGGCUUCACGCAUGCUACAAUGGCCGGUACAAAGGGCUGCGAUACCGCGAGGUGGAGCGAAUCCCAGAAAGCCGGUCUCAGUUCGGAUUGGGGUCUGCAACUCGACCCCAUGAAGUCGGAGUCGCUAGUAAUCGUGGAUCAGCAUGUCACGGUGAAUACGUUCCCGGGUCUU